UACGGUGGAUGCGAGCGUUAUCCGGAUUUAUUGGGUUUAAAGGGUGCGUAGGCGGACGCUUAAGUCAGCGGUAAAAUUGCGGGGCUCAACCUCGUCGAGCCGUUGAAACUGGGUGCCUUGAGUGGGCGAGAAGUACGCGGAAUGCGUGGUGUAGCGGUGAAAUGCAUAGAUAUCACGCAGAACUCCGAUUGCGAAGGCAGCGUACCGGCGCCCAACUGACGCUGAAGCACGAAGGCGUGGGUAUCGAACAGG
rnacentral:rRNA from 1 species